ensembl:lncRNA
GUCAGUCAGUCCGUUAGUUUCAGCCCAGUCAGUCAGUCAGUCAGUCAGUCAGUUUCAGCCCAGUCAGUCAGUCAGUUUCAGUCAGUCAGUCAGUCAGUCAGUCAGUUUCAGCCCAGUCAGUCAGUCAGUUUCAGCCCAGUCAUCAGUCAGUUUCAGCCAGUCAGUUUCAGCCCAGUCAGUCAGUCAGUCAGUCAGUUUCAACCAGUCAGUCAGUCAGUAAGUUUCAGCCCAGUCAGUCAGUCAAUCCGUUUCAGCCCAGUCAGUCAGUCAAUCCGUUAGUUUCUGCCCACCCAGUCAGUCAGUCAGCCAGUUUCUGCCCAGUCAGUCAGUCAGUUUCAGCCCAGUCAUCAGUCAGUCAGUCAGUUUCAGCCCAGUCAGUCAGUCAGUUUCAGCCAGUCAGUUUCAGCCCAGUCACCCAGUCAGUCAGUCAGUUUCAACCAGUCAGUCAGUCAGUAAGUUUCAGCCCAGUCAGUCAGUCAAUCCGUUUCAGCCCAGUCAGUCAGUCAAUCCGUUAGUUUCUGCCCAGUCAGUCAGUCAGUCCGUUAGUUUCAGCCCAGUCAGUCAGUCAGUCAGUUUCAGCCCAGUCAGUCAGUCAGUCAGUCAGUCAGUUUCAGCCCAGUCAGUCAGUCAGCCAGUUUCUGCCUAGUCAGUCAGUCAGUCAGUCAGUCAGUCAGUUUCAGCCCAGUCAGUCAGUCAGUCAGUUUCAGCCCAGUCAGUCAGUCAGUUUCAGCCCAGUCAGUCAGUCAGUCAGUCAGUCAGUUUCAGCCCAGUCAGUCAGUCAGUUUCAGCCCAGUCAGUCAGUCAGUUUCAGCCCAGUCAGUCAGUCAGUCAGUUUCAGCCCAGUCAGUCAGUCAGCCAGUUUCUGCCUAGUCAGUCAGUCAGUCAGUUUCAGCCCAGUCAGUCAGUCAGUCAGUUUUCAGCCCAGUCAGUCAGCCAGUUUCAGCCCAGUCAGUCAGUCAGUCAGUUUCAGCCCAGUCAGUCAGUCAGUCAGUUUCAGCCCAGUCAGUCAGUCAGUCAGUCAGUCAGCCAGUUUCUUCCCAGUCAGUCAGUCAGUUUCAG